AUCUCUGUAGAGUCUGCAUAUCAAUAAGCGGAGGAAAAGAAACUAACUAGGAUUCCCUUAGUAACGGCGAGUGAAGCGGGAAGAGCUCAAAUUCGAAAUCUUCAAGGUUCUACCUUGACGAAUUGUAGUUUAAAGAAGUGUUUUCUGUUAGGUGAUUAGGCUAAAAGUUCCUUGGAAUAGGGACAUCAUAGAGGGUGAGAAUCCCGUAUUUGGUUAUUCAUUCUAGCUUUGUGAUACACUUUCAAAGAGUCGGAUUGUUUGGGAAUGCAGUCCAAAAUGGGUGGUAAAUUUCAUCUAAAGCUAAAUAUUGGCGAGAGACCGAUAGCGAACAAGUACCGUGAGGGAAAGAUGAAAAGAACUUUGAAAAGAGAGUUAAACAGUACGUGAAAUUGUCAAAAGGGAAGCGUUUGACACCAGUGUUGUUUUUCCGAAAAUCAAUUACGAAUGGCUUGAUUCUGUGUUGUAUUGACCUUAUCAGCUUUCUUCACUUUUUUCGAGUCUUUCUUAAUGCACUUUUCGGUUAACAAGUCAACAUCAAUUUCUUUUGUUGUAAAAGAGUAUUCGGAAGGUGGCUUUCUUUUCGGAGAAAGUGUUUAUAGCCCUAUACUUCUACAAUCGGAGAGAUUGAGGUCUGCAGCGUAGAUCCUUCGGGGUUAGAUACACUUGUGCUAAGUUGUAGCUUUUCAUAGACAACUUGUUGACUAUGUUUAGUCAUGCGGCUUACUCGCUUGUGCUAUUUUACCUACGCUUAGGAUGUUGAAGAUGUAGCACAUCAU
rnacentral:rRNA from 1 species